CGUAACAAGGUCUCCGUUGGUGAACCAGCGGAGGGAUCAUUACCGAGUUUACAACUCCCAAACCCCUGUGAACAUACCAAUUGUUGCCUCGGCGGAUCAGCCCGCUCCCGGUAAAACGGGACGGCCCGCCAGAGGACCCCUAAACUCUGUUUCUAUAUGUAACUUCUGAGUAAAACCAUAAAUAAAUCAAAACUUUCAACAACGGAUCUCUUGGUUCUGGCAUCGAUGAAGAACGCAGCAAAAUGCGAUAAGUAAUGUGAAUUGCAGAAUUCAGUGAAUCAUCGAAUCUUUGAACGCACAUUGCGCCCGCCAGUAUUCUGGCGGGCAUGCCUGUUCGAGCGUCAUUUCAACCCUCAAGCCCAGCUUGGUGUUGGGACUCGCGAGUCAAAUCGCGUUCCCCAAAUUGAUUGGCGGUCACGUCGAGCUUCCAUAGCGUAGUAGUAAAACCCUCGUUACUGGUAAUCGUCGCGGCCACGCCGUUAAACCCCAACUUCUGAAUGUUACCUCGGAUCAGGUAGGAAUACCCGCUGAACUUAAGCAUAUCAUCAAAAGAAACCAACAGGGAUUGCCCUAGUAACGGCGAGUGAAGCGGCAACAGCUCAAAUUUGAAAUCUGGCUCUCGGGCCCGAGUUGUAAUUUGUAGAGGAUACUUUUGAUGCGGUGCCUUCCGAGUUCCCUGGAACGGGACGCCAUAGAGGGUGAGAGCCCCGUCUGGUUGGAUGCCAAAUCUCUGUAAAGUUCCUUCGACGAGUCGAGUAGUUUGGGAAUGCUGCUCUAAAUGGGAGGUAUAUGUCUUCUAAAGCUAAAUACCGGCCAGAGACCGAUAGCGCACAAGUAGAGUGAUCGAAAGAUGAAAAGCACUUUGAAAAGAGAGUUAAAAAGUACGUGAAAUUGUUGAAAGGGAAGCGUUUAUGACCAGACUUGGGCUUGGUUAAUCAUCUGGGGUUCUCCCCAGUGCACUUUUCCAGUCCAGGCCAGCAUCAGUUUUCCCCGGGGGAUAAAGACUUCGGGAAUGUGGCUCUCUUCGGGGAGUGUUAUAGCCCGUUGUGUAAUACCCUGGGGGGGACUGAGGUUCGCGCAUCUGCAAGGAUGCUGGCGUAAUGGUCAUCAACGACCCGU
rnacentral:rRNA from 1 species